AUCAACUAUAGCUUUACAAAAAAGACACUUCUUUUCAAGGACUAUAGAGCUCCUGCAGAUGAUGUCAUAUAUGCUGGUCACGUGACGAGAUACGACAGGGGCAGCCAUUUUGGCAGUCAUCGCGGCAGUAAAUUGACAGGCACUGGCAGACUGUCAAGGAUGGUGGAUAACUGCUGUGCACCAGGUUGCACAAAUAGGCGUGGGAAAAAGAAAGGUGUAUCGUAUUAUCGCAUUCCUAAAGACGCGGAGAGGAGGGAGAAGUGGAUUGGAGCGAUUAAAAGAGCCAGGAGCCUUCAGAAAAAGACUGAAAGAUGGGACCCCCCGGCCGUUGGCUUUCGCUUAUGCAGUGAUCACUUCAUAUCAGGGAGAAAGAGUGAUAAUCCGUUGAGUCCGGAUUUUAUCCCCUCAAUUUUCGAUUACCUUCCAUCUCCAGAGAAGAGGAGACAUAAAACGAGACUGGAGGUUUUUAACAGAAGGCAGAAGGCUAAACUGCACAAAGUAGAGCAGGCAAAGAUAUCUGCAGAAGCCAUCCGUCAAAGGACAUCAACUGAUGCAGCCCCAGAAGACCAUAUCACAGAGCCUUUGAAGGAGCCCCCCAUCACAGAUCCGUUGGAAGACUCAGCCGAUGAUCUUGUCCAGCCUGAACCAGUAACACCACCAUGCACCUCUGAAACCUGCUGUACCCGCAUCCAGAGUCUUGAGCAAGAAUGCCAAGCUCUAAGGGCUGAAAAUGUGUUGUUAAGGGAAAAGAUUAAUAGGAAGACCCUGACAGAGAUUAGUUUAAAUAACAAUGAUAAAAAGGUGAAUGUCCUCACUGGGCUGGCAACCUAUGCAUGUCUCAUGACCAUUUUUCAAUAUCUGGCUCCAUUUCUCAAAGUUAAAUCAUCAAUAACAUGUUUUCAACAAUACAUGUUGACUUUGAUGAAGCUUCGAAUGAACUUAACAUUUGACUUUUUGGGUUUUUAUUUUGGCAUCGACCCAACUACUGUCUCCAGGCACUUCAAAAACUGUGUUAAUUUGAUGUAUUGUAGACUGGUGCCAAGCCUAGUGGUGUGGCCUGAAAGAGAAUCUUUAAGAACAUCUCUUCCAUAUGUAUUUAGAAAUGGUGACUACGAGAAGACUGUUUGUAUCAUUGAUUGCUUUGAAAUAUUUCUAGAGAAACCAAGUAGAUUGCGACCCAGUGCGCAGUGUUACUCAAGAUACAAAUCACAUCACACCAUGAAAUAUUUAAUUGCCAUUUGCCCUCAAGGUUCAAUUUGUUUCAUUUCUACUGGAUGGGGAGGUCGCACCAGUGAUAAGUUCAUUACAGAACACAGUACUUUUUUACCUAAUAUUCUCCCAGGGGAUGUUGUUUUGGCAGACAGGGGGUUUCUGGUGAAAGAGUCUGUUGAAAGGUGUCAGGCUGAAUUAAAAAUUCCAGCAUUUACUCGUGGAAAAACACAGUUAGAUCCUGCUGACAUAGAGAAUACAAGAUCUCUAGCCUCUUUAAGGAUUCACAUCGAAAGAGUCAUAGGAGUACUUCGUCAGAAAUAUACUAUCUUACAAAGCACUGUGCCAAUAACUUUCACAGACAUAGAGAAAGAAAAUGAUGUUACUUAUCUUGAUAAAAUUGUGAGUGUAUGUUGUGGACUAACAAAUGUACCUGAUUCUGUGGUGCCCUUUGAGUGAUGAAUUUGUGCGUCAACAGAAAAUAAACCUUUUUGAUUCGCUUCUCA